rnacentral:rRNA from 1 species
GGACGCUCACCGGGGUUUCGGCUCUGGUGGGAGUGGCGCACGGGUGAGUAGCGCGUGGGAACCUGCCCUUUUGUGGGGGAUAACCGAGAGAAACUUCGGCUAAUACCGCAUGCGCCCCUGGGGCGACCUGGGGGGAAAGAUUUAUCGCAGGAGGAGGGGCCCGCGUCGGAUUAGGUAGUUGGUGGGGUAACGGCCUACCAAGCCGAUGAUCCGUAGCUGGUCUGAGAGGAUGAUCAGCCACACUGGGGACUGAGACACGGCCCAGACUCCUACGGGAGGCAGCAGUGGGGAAUAUUGGACAAUGGGCGCAAGCCUGAUCCAGCAAUGCCGCGUGAGUGAUGAAGGCCUUCGGGUUGUAAAGCUCUUUCGCCCGCGACGAUGAUGACGGUAGCGGGAGAAGAAGCCCCGGCUAACUUCGUG